GACGAACGCUGGCGGCGUGCUUAACACAUGCAAGUCGAACGGAAAGGCCCUGCUCUUGUGGGGUGCUCGCGUGGCGAACGGGUGAGUCACACGUGAGUAACCUGCCCUUGACUUUGGGAUAACUUCAGGAAACUGGGGCUAAUACCGGAUCGGAGCUCCUGCUGCAUGGUGGGGGUUGGAACGUUUCGGCGGUUGGGGAUGGACUCGCGGCUUAUCAGCUUGUUGGUGGGGUAGUGGCUUACCAAGGCUUUGACGGGUAGCCGGCCUGAGAGGGUGACCGGCCACAUGGGGACUGAGAUACGGCCCAGACUCCUACGGGAGGCAGCAGUGGUGAAUAUUGCACAAUGGGCGGGAGCCUGAUGCAGCAACGCCGCGUGCGGGAUGACGGCCGUCGGGGUGUAAACCGCUUUCGCCUGUGACGAAACGUGAGUGACGGUAAUGGGUAGAGAAGCACCGGCUAAGUACGUG
rnacentral:rRNA from 1 species